AGCUAAGCUAAAAUGCUUGAGAAACAAAUGGUUAGUGGUGUUCAUGGUGUCAAACGCAAUCUGGCUUGUCUUGAUCGCCACCCUUGCAAACAAGAGUCAUAUGCUACUUGUCUAUGGAAGCGACCCUCUUGGUCUCGUUGUGCUUGUGUUGUUCAGCGCUGUAGUGGCCAUUCAGUUUUUGGCAAUGCUGGUUCAUCGAUUGAUCACUUUUACCCACUUUCUCGCCAGGGCACCGUACUCAUUUAAGAAUGGGUAAGCAAAUGAUCAGCAUGGUUGGACAGUUUAGACAAAGAAGAACGAGAUACCAAUCGUGUAGGUGGUCUUAGCAAACUUCGCUUGUUUGUUAUCUGUAAUCAUCAUAGCAUGAAUUAAAUAUGUGUGUCACGUUUUCUUGCCGGAAUUGUGUAAACCUUAAUGUGUUUGUUCUCAUUGUUUUGACAAACGAUUUUACCAUUUAUGAUGACAACGCGGAUAGAGUCAACGAGGUUGUAUUUUGAAUGAUCUAUAUAGAUUACCUGCGCUUUCUAUCUGUCUGUGUAUCACCCCCUGUACGUCGAUAAUCCAACCUGAGUAGGAUAAUUUAAUCUGAAGAAACAAAUGGAAACAUAAAUAAAGACCCCAGUCAUUUAUAUCUAAGAACACGUUUUUUUGAAAGAUAAGUUGUGACAUAAUAAACGUUUCUUUUUUAUAAAAUGUUAUUUGCGUCAAAAUAAAAUGAAUAUGUUUGAAAAUCUGGAAAAAGUAAAUGAAAUUGUCGAAAGUUUUAGGCCAAAAAGAAUUAUAAGUGAAUGUUUUUAAUGUUUUAAUGCUUGGACUUAUGUAUUAAUCUUUCACCUAUGUAUGCAAAAAGUUUGAAUGGCGUAAAUGCUCGAAAACGCAAUAUAUUCGUAUUUGUUUGGGACAAGAAUAUACAUAUUGGAUAAUGACCAAACUUGUGUCUGGAUAAUUCCAAACUAACAUUAGGAAGUCGAUGGAUAAUGACCAAACUGCAAGAUAUUUUUUGUAAAGAUCUAUGUGAAAUGAACACUCUUGUAAAAUUUUCGAGAUUUAUUAAAUUGCUGACAACAAAGGCAUUUUAGCACAUUGUUAAACAAUCAUCACAAAAAUGAUUUUGUUUUAUUUUCAUGUAAAACAGAAGAUAAUGGUAAACUACAUAUGCUAUUAUUGUACAGAGUCCUUUAAAUGCCUGAAAGAAAUUCUCAUCCAUAACGCAACUUACAGUUACGUAUAAAAAUAAUAAAUUAGGGGUACUGUACAAUCCACUCGUUAAUAUUUUACUACUACUUCAAUUUCCUCGCGCCGUUGAAAAGGGUCACGGUGAAUACUUUUUAUAAUUAUCAAAAUCCAUAAUUUGUAGAAGAUUUUAAAUAUCUACGUCUGUGUAUUGAGAAAUCAUAUAAUAUGUUCUUUUCAAUGUGUAAAUAUAUUUCGGACAGCAAAAUGCCAUACUAGCAGUCGAUAUGCCCCUUAAAUAUUUGUGUACCAUUGGAUGCAAUCUUUCUGAUAUUAUGUAUAAUGAAUCAGAUCAGUAAUGCCUCAAAUAAUAUUCGAAACCUCUAAUAUGAUGACCAAUACAUUAAUUAGAGGGGGCAAGUGCCACUUUACCCUGCAGCUUCGACUCGAGUCCCUUUAAAUCAAGUGAUUAAAUAAUAAGUAGGGACAUUUUUUUUAAUUUUUAUGCUUUUCAUGCACUCCAAUUUGACAUGGGACACGUGUUAUGGUAUCUCUGUGUACGUGGAAUGCAAAUGCCGCAUGCGUAUUUUGCUUCUAAUCUCACUUGUAUAAUAUAUGCAAGUUCCGUUGAAAUUGAUUUUACAAAUAACAAAUAAAUGAAUGUUGAUUUUCGUUGAAAGUAUUUUUUAUAUUCCAUUAUACACAUCGUGUGAGUUUUUGGUUAUACAUUUUUUUCAAACAAUAAUAUCCAACCUGUCUGUUCAAUACAUCGCAGUGUGUGCAUUAUCCAUUUUGAAUUUGGUUAUUAUCCACAUAAAUUUUCAUAUCAGUUUGGAUUUAUCCAUAAACUUUUAUACCCUUCCUGCAAACACAUGAUUCUAACACAGAACACACUGGGUGUUAAAAAUAAAAUUUUAAAGGACAUUCGUGAUAUAAUUCGGCAUAUCUCUGUUACAAUUUCGUUCGCUCCUUUGUCAAUUAACGUGUGAAUAAUUCAACACAUAGGUCGCAUUUCAUGAAAAUUAUCAUGUUUCGAAGACAACUGUAUCGUUUUUUACUAGAAAACUAUUAAAUCAUGGAAAAACUCAAAACGCAUGUGUGUUAUCACAUAUGUUGAACAAUUACGACCUUAUAGUUACUAAAUUUAUUUAGCAGAAAUGAUAAAAUUAUCACCUUCCUUUCAGUUUCAGUUUCACUUUCUGCCGACAUUUUUGUUCUUCAGUUGGAAUUAUCCAACUCAGGUUGGGUGUAUCAACGUACAGGGAGUAGUGUAUUGUAACGUUUCCAUAUAGUGAAAACUUAGCCAGUGAAAUAACUCUUUGUGUGCCUAUGUUGCUAUAUUUUAUAUCCCAUUGCUACAUCAAAGCACUAAUACUUUAAAGUUGUUUACAGGAUAUUAUAAUAAUUUGAAUAAUUUAGUUAAAAUAUGCGUCAUAAUUUAAUUUUCAUGCUAUGUUCUUAUAAAUUAACUAUUUAUGUUAAAUGGUACAUUAUUGUUCUUAUCAAGUUUGCUGCACCAAAUGCAAAUACUUAUAAUUUGAAUAUGUUGUAUGAUCUUCAAAGAACACAUACAAUAAAAAAUGAAUAAUCGAAACUAUUCGAUGACUAAUUAACAAUAUAAUGCAUCUUAGCCUCUGUAAACAGUAUGAAACAUCAUGAAAGCACAGUUUCAGACAAUUUCACAACUAAAUAUUUUAAUUUUUUUUGGCUUUUGUAUUUUAAGAGGUCUGCAUUAUGCUAUUACUGCAAAUUAUAGUCCAAGAGGAAGGGUAUAUCAUUUUCAUAAACAAUAAAAAGAUAUUUCUUUAAAACAAGCACACAAUUCUUUAACGUGUUCAAAUGCUGUAAAGCCGAUAGUUGCGAUUACCAAUAUAUGAAAAGUUAUUGACAUAAUAAUUUCAAAUGAUUACAAAGUUUAAUAAAAGAAGAUUUUUACGGAAAAUACAAUAAUUUUAUAUGAUGUGUCACAUGCUAACAUGUUCCAAUAUUACUAAUUAAUUCUAGUACCAAAAUUGCAAAUAGUACACCACUGUGCUGAUAAAUAAUCAUUGUUUUUAAUACAUUAGUUAUCGAUUUAUUGGUUUUAAUGGUUGAGUAAAUACACGUAACACAGUUUAUUGCAGUUAUACAUAAGAAAGAAAACAAAAAACAUAUUUAAGUGACAGUGAAGGUAAUGUUUUACAAAACAUUAUUUUAUUUUAUUACUAUAUGGUACACUUUGUAACAAUCUUUAUUGUAUUGGUUAUUUUUGCCAUAAAGUAUUUGUUAAAUCAUUUGUAUAGUAAAGAAAAACAAGUAUUAAUCAUACAGUACCGAUUUCACACUGUGGAAAAAACGAUUUCAGUAAUACAUAAUUUCACUAAUUUUAAUAAAACUAAAUAUUUAUUUAGGGAGGCCACUCUUUCCUGGUUGCGAAAUAUCGGUUAUGAAAGUCCGCCCCUUUUGGCGCCUUUUCAGUCGUUAGUUAGUAUUUAUCUGGAGAGGACGUUUGUUUUAAAUGUGGCGUGCCAGUGGAACUCAUUCAACUGUUUGGCAAUUGGAAGUCUGACUGUUAUUUGCGAUAUUUCAGAUUUUCUUUGACAAACAUGAGUGAGGUUUCACAAAAAGUUGCACUUGCUUUGUUGUUAUUUUUGGCCGUUAUUUUUAGCAGGUUUUUGGCUGUAUUUGACUUGUCUAAUACCUUUGUGUUUAUACUAUGUUUUUUAUUUGAAGUACAGCCAAAAAUAUAUUCGGCCAAAAUUAAAUAUUUAACUUAAAUUUAUGUUUGGGUAUUCUCUUUCUGACCGCAAUAAUUUCACUUAUUUAAAUAAAAUUAAAUAUUUAUUAAGGGGGGCCACUCUUUCCCGGUUGCAAAAUAUUGAUUAGUCCGCCCCUUUUGGCGCCAUUUCAGUCGUUAGUUAGUAUUUGUCCGAUGCGAACGUUUGUUUUAAAUCCUCCCCCCCCCCACCGUUAUCAGAUUAACUGAUUUGAUUUGUGAACUGCAUAUUAUUGUUUUUAUUAUAUCAUGUAGGUUAUUAUGUAUAAUAUAUUUGUUAGUAUUAAGCUAUGCUUAUUAUCUUGGUGCUUGAUAUAAGAAUACUACACAGUUAUGAAAUUGUAAUGUUACUUUAUAUAAAUGCAGCUUCAUAUUUUAUUUUAUUUUUUUUGCGGAGGUUUUUGGCUGUCUUUGACUUGUCUAAUACCUUUGUGUUUAUACAAUGUUUUUUUAUUUUAAGUGCAGACAAAAAUAUAUUCGGCCAAAAUUAAAUAUUUAACUUAGAUUUGUGUUUGGGUAUUCUCUUUCUGACCGCAAUAAUUUCACUAAUUUAAAUAAAAUUAAAUAUUUAUUUAGGGGGGCCACUCUUUCCCGGUUGCGAAAAAUCGAUUAGUCCGCCCCUUUUGGCGCCAUUUCAGUCGUUAGUUAGUAUUUGUCCGAUGCGGACGUUUGUUUUAAAUCCUCCCUCCCCCGUUAUCAGAUUUACUGAUUUGAUAUGUGAACUGCAUAUUAAUUUUUUUAUUAUAUCUUGCAGGUUAUUAUGUAAAAUAUAUUUGUUAGUAUCAAGCUAUGUUUAUUACCUUGGUGCUUGAUAUAAGAAUAAUACACAGUUAUGAAAUUGUAAUGUUACUUUAUAUAAAUGUAGCUUAAUAUUUUAUUUUAUUUUUCUUAGCGGAGGUUUUUGGCUGUCUUUGACUUGUCUAAUACCUUUUUGUUUAUACUAUGUUUUUUAUUUGAAUU